AAAUACUCGCAAGUAAAAGAGAAGAGGAACUUAAUCGAUCGGACGCUUGUUGUAUGUUGUUGGUUUGGUUCCGGUUAAUUUACACGAAAAUCGUCAGAAGAAUCGGAGUGUUAUCACGUUUUAUGAACAACGUUUGAAAAUCAAUGGGGCCGCAUAACGAUAAAGUUACAUAUACGGUCGACAGCAACCGAAAUCCUUUCGGAUCAGGAGAACUCAAUAUGCGCAUCCAAAACAACGGAAAACACAAGAGGACCCGAAACAAAAAGAAUUUAAGGAUGAUUAUCAUAAGACAGCAGCAGAAAUCCCACGGUUUUAUACUUUUUUUUUUAUUUCUUUUUUCUCAGGGAUUUUAAACCAAGUUGGUUUAUUCAUCCCGAAGUGGAGCGUUUCAUGUGUUUUUGCAGACGAUAUUUGUAUUUAUCCUUGGUGUUAUCUUUUCCGUUUCUUUAUCCUGGGUUUUUUAUUUGCUUGGACACGGUUUUAUACCAUUUUUCAUUUAAGUGACCAGUAAAUGAGUAAAUAACCGUAAUAGCUAUCACUUGAAAAAGUCGCCAGUUCCGGUCGAACUAAGCAGAAGCUCUUAAAAAAGAUACCGGGAAGGGGGAGAAUUAAGCGAUACAAUUCAACGACCUGUUUGAUUCGGCGAUGACUGCAAAUGCAAAAUUUAAAAGGCACUACGUUAACUUUACAAAAAUAUCGGGCCUGAUGAUGAACGCAGAAGGAGGACAUCCUUCGACGGAACCGGAUAUUCAAGGACUAUCUGUG